rnacentral:rRNA from 1 species
UACGUAGGGUGCGAGCGUUGUCCGGAAUUAUUGGGCGUAAAGGGCUCGUAGGCGGUUUGUCGCGUCGGGAGUGAAAACUCAGGGCUUAACUCUGAGCCUGCUUCCGAUACGGGCAGACUAGAGGUAUGCAGGGGAGAACGGAAUUCCUGGUGUAGCGGUGAAAUGCGCAGAUAUCAGGAGGAACACCGGUGGCGAAGGCGGUUCUCUGGGCCGAUACUGACGCUGAGGAGCGAAAGCGUGGGGAGCGAACAGG